rnacentral:rRNA from 1 species
UCGGGAAUUUUGGGCAAUGGGGGAAACCCUGACCCAGCAACGCCGCGUGAAGGAUGAAGUAUUUCGGUAUGUAAACUUCGAAAGAAUAGGAAGAAUAAAUGACGGUACUAUUUAUAAGGUCCGGCUAACUACGUGCCAGCAGCCGCGGUAAUACGUAGGGACCAAGCGUUGUUCGGAUUUACUGGGCGUAAAGGGCGCGUAGGCGGCAUGACAAGUCACUUGUGAAAUCUCUGGGCUUAACCCAGAACGGCCAAGUGAUACUGUCGCGCUAGAGUGCAGAAGGGGCAAUCGGAAUUCUUGGUGUAGCGGUGAAAUGCGUAGAUAUCAAGAGGAACACCUGAGGUGAAGACGGGUUGCUGGGCUGACACUGACGCUGAGGCGCGAAAGCGUGGGGAGCAAACAGGAUUAGAUACCCAAGUAGUCCCUGAGCGGGCUGGCAAGGCGCAU